rnacentral:rRNA from 1 species
ACGUAGGCAGCAAGCGUUGUUCGGAAUUACUGGGCGUAAAGAGUGCGUAGGUGGUUGGCUAAGUUUGGUGUGAAAUCUCCCGGCUCAACUGGGAGGGUGCGCCGAAAACUGGCUGGCUAGAGUGUGGGAGAGGGACGUGGAAUUCCUGGUGUAGCGGUGAAAUGCGUAGAUAUCAGGAGGAACACCUGCGGUGUAGACGGCGUCCUGGACCAUUACUGACACUGAGGCACGAAAGCGUGGGGAGCAAACAGGAUUAGAUACCCUGGUAGUCCACGCCCUAAACGAUGCAAACUUGGUGUGCGCCCUUCAUUGGGUGCGUGCCGAAGCUAACGCGUUAAGUUUGCCGCCUGGGGAGUACGGUUGCAAGGCUG